rnacentral:rRNA from 1 species
UACGUAGGUGGCGAGCGUUGUCCGGAAUUACUGGGUGUAAAGGGAGCGCAGGCGGGAGAACAAGUCAGCUGUGAAAACUAUGGGCUUAACCCAUAAACUGCAGUUGAAACUGUUUUUCUUGAGUGGAGUAGAGGUAGGCGGAAUUCCGAGUGUAGCGGUGAAAUGCGUAGAUAUUCGGAGGAACACCAGUGGCGAAGGCGGCCUACUGGGCUCUAACUGACGCUGAGGCUCGAAAGUGUGGGGAGCAAACAGGAUUAGAUACCCUGGUAGUCCACACUGUAAACGAUGAUUGCUAGGUGUGGGGGGUCUGACCCCUUCCGUGCCGCAGCUAACGCAAUAAGCAAUCCACCUGGGGAGUACGGCCGCAAGGUUGAA